AGCGAACGCUGGCGGCAGGCUUAACACAUGCAAGUCGAGCGGGUGUAGCAAUACAUCAGCGGCAGACGGGUGAGUAACGCGUGGGAACGUACCUUUUGGUUCGGAACAACCCAGGGAAACUUGGGCUAAUACCGGAUAAGCCCUUACGGGGAAAGAUUUAUCGUCGAAAGAUCGGCCCGCGUCUGAUUAGCUAGUUGGUGAGGUAAUGGCUCACCAAGGCGACGCUCAGUAGCUGGUCUGAGAGGAUGAUCAGCCACAUUGGGACUGAGACACGGCCCAAACGCCGACGGGAGGCAGCAGUGGGGAAUAUUGGACAAUGGGCGCAAGCCUGAUCCAGCCAUGCCGCGUGGGUGAUGAAGGCCCUAGGGUUGUAAAGCCCUUUCAGCGGGGAAGAUAAUGACGGUACCCGCAGAAGAAGCCCCGGCUAACUUCGUGCCAGCCGCCGCGGUAAGAC
rnacentral:rRNA from 1 species